rnacentral:lncRNA from 1 species
CAUGAAGAGGUUCCUGAAUUUACAGAUUGCAACAGACAGUUGGUUUAAGGAGUGAGCAAAGCAGAUGUCUGUCUGUCUGUCUGAGAAGUACAUCAUGAGCCCGUUCUGUGGGAUGGCUUCCAUUCUUCCCAGCUGGACCGAGGCACGAUUCAUUCCACGUUGCAUCUUUCAUCCUGUCCUUCUUGGUGGUGAAGCUGGGAUUGCCCCAUUGGGCACGCGAGCCAAAAAAAGACACAAUUUAUUUGUAGUUGGUGAAAGACUGAAGCAAGUUUUAAGAGGAUGAAGACUGGAUCAGAGUGAAAUGUCAGAGGAAGCCCUGCGCAGGGAGCUGAGCUAAUGCCAGGCACCAGAGACUGUUUUAAUUUCUGUACUGAAGAGGGCAGCCCUGGCAUCUGAAGCUGUGUGUGCUGCAACUAGAGGCUGAAAAGCAACAAAACCGAUGAGACAACUGGCAAGUUACCCCAUGACCCCGAGGAGUGUGUGGAACGAAGCUGGGAGAGCAGUGUUUCCAACCAUCCAAACCACCAGGGUGUUUUCAUCGCCACAGAUGGGGCUGUGCCUGUGAUCCACAAAAUCAAGGAAGGGAGACAACCUGCCACAGGACACAAAAGCUCCUUGCAGGUAGGAGAUGAAAGAAGAAAUGUAUAAAUUGAUAGUGAGAAAUAGGCAAGAAGGUUACAGAAUGUGAUACCAUGUCUUGU